AUUCUAUGAUAAGGGCACUUUCGUAAAAACUAUUUGUACCUUUCCCAUGCCUCAUACAAGGACUCAUCAUCCACUUGUUGGAAAGUAGUGAUCUCGUUCCUUAACUU
rnacentral:snoRNA from 1 species